rnacentral:tRNA from 3 species
GGAUUUGCAAUCCUCUGCCUUACCACUUGGCCAUGUCGCCGUUUUUUGUUUAAAAAAAUUAAAAAAAA